rnacentral:sRNA from 1 species
GUCUCAAUUUGUUGGGGACAGAUAAAGUGAAUAUGGGUAUCUAUUGAACCUGCAGUAAGAAUAUGCCCCUCUCCAGCUAUUACUUCUGUUGAUGCACCAAUAACAAUAUCAACAUUAUCCUGGAUAUCAGGAUUGCCAGCCUUACCAAUUUCAAAAAUCAUUCCAUCUUUUAUACCCACAUCAGCCUUAAUUAUUCCCCACCAAUCUACGAUCAAAGCAUUAGUUAUUACGGUAUCUACAGCUCCAUCAGCUCUUCUUACUUGAGACUGUCCCAUCCCAUCUCG